GGGAUAUGAGGAGUGGUCAUUAAUCGCAAUUUUGAAAUGCGAUAUGGAUGCCCGCCCCAGCCUGGUUACGACAAUUGGGCAUCCAAACUUUUACCAUCUGAUCCC
rfam:Beta vulgaris subsp. vulgaris chromosome 2, whole genome shotgun sequence.